GAUGAACGCUGGCAGAAUGCUUAACACAUGCAAGUCGACUGGAAUUUGGGUGUUUAACUUAGGUUUGGGUGGCGGACGGGUGAGUAACGCGUAAAGAACUUGCCGCACAGCUAGGGACAACAUUGGGAAACGAAUGCUAAAACCUAAUAUUAUGAUAAUAGGGCGUCCUAUAAUUAUGAAAGCUAUAAGCGCUGUGGGAGAGAUUUGCGUCCCAUUAGUUAGUUGGGGAGGUACCGGCCCACCACGGCGACGAUGGUUAGCCGGCCUGGGAGUGUGAUCGGCCCCAAGGUGCUGGGGACGCCGCCCUUACGCCUUCUUGGAGCAGGGGCGGGGAAUUUUGGCCGACGGGCCGCGUGUCUGAUGCAGCUAUUCUGUGUGCACAAUGAAGUUUUUCGGAAUGUAAAGUGGUUUCAGUUGGGAAGGAACAAAUGACGUUACCAACAGAAGAAGCGCCGGCUAACUACGUG
rnacentral:rRNA from 1 species